rnacentral:snRNA from 1 species
AUACUUACCUUGCAGGGGAGACACCAUGAUCAGGCAGGUGGUUUUCCCAGGGAGAGGCUCAUCCUUUGCAGUCCAGGUGUGCUGACCCCUGCAAUUUCCCCAAAUGUGGGAAACUCGACAUUUCUUUUC